AAAUCUCUGAAGUUAAAAAAUGACCUUUCCUUGCAUAAUUUUGGAGGUAACCUAGCUGCGUAAUUAUAUUUGCACUUACAGAAGACUGCAUCAGAGUUCCCUUAUUGGUUUGAAAUUCCAUUAAAUAUAUUGCAAGAGCUCCUAGGUUAAGCUUGAUUUAAAUUUGCAUACAUUUUCAUAUAUUUAGCAGAAAUAAAAGAAGGCUUGCAGCUACCAGAAAGUCAUUAAGGCAUUAGUUUCUCUGAGAAGACAGAUCUGGAGAAAAUUCAAGAAAAUGAAUCUCUUUCUCUAUAUAUAAACAAGGUGGAGUGGAAGACAAUGCCUGCAUUUAUGGUUAACUAUAAGUGAUACACUAGGAAGAUGAUGGUAUUCAGACACACACAAACAAUUUGAUUCAGACAGAUUGGAUACAAGAUUUCAACCAGCAUAAGGAGAACAGGUAAGCAGGCAACAUGGCAAAAGAAAAUGUUAUAGACUUGCUGAAGGAACCCAGCAGGAAAGAGUAUCAGCUCCACAUAGACAAAAAUAACAACUUGGAUCCCAGUGAGAAUGAACAGACCUGAUUUACAAGAUUCUGAUACUUGCUGCUCAUGGCCUUUUAAAAGUACUUUCUAUAAAAUCCUGUGCGGAUGAAAGAUUUUUUCCAUGAAGACAAAGUUCAAAAUACAACAAAAUUCAAAUGUGAUUAUCUGAUGUUUAUUGUAAUAGAAGGGGCAACAUUUACCUGAAUCUCUAUUCCUUGAGCAUCCAAAUCUUCCACUGCAGUGGAAGACUGCAAGAUCAGGCCCUGAGCCAACAUGAAGUAACAUUUUUUACAAGCAAAUAAGGAAGCCAAUGUAACUCUCGACUGUGUGAUAACAUUCAGGAGAUCACGGCAUUUUUCAGUCUUACCCAGCUCUUAUAAAUUAACGUGGAACCAAUGUCUCCAUUUAACCAAAGGUAAACCCUAAAUCUGUGGUGGAAUGAAACACAGCAUUGUAACUCCUGAUGAUAUGUCUGAACUUUGCAUGUGUAAAUAAAUACAGACAGCUAAUGUUAUUUCCUAAUUUU
rnacentral:lncRNA from 1 species